CGCAGGAGCCUGGCAGGAACUUGGCGCGUUUUACAGCCUGAACCGCGCCGUCUUCUGCGCGUCUCGGAGAGCAGCAGUCUCCGCCUUAACUUCCCCCCGAGCUAGCCGGCGCCAGCUGACGGCUGAACCGGCACCGAGCCCUCUAGUGUGAAGGAGCCAUGCCUUUCCUCCAUGGCUUUCGAAGAAUUAUCUACGAGUAUCAGCCUCUGGUAGAUGCUGUGUUGUGCGUCAUUGGGCUGGAGGAAGGAGCUAAUAGUACUCAGGAAGAGAUAAGCGGUCGUCCUGAAGAUGAGGAACGUCUCAGUAGUUCCCUGGUGGAGCUCCUGGAAAGGGAGUCUGAGUCCGAGGUAUUCGAGGAAGGCAUCAGCUAUGCGCUCUUUAAGGUGGCUGAAAAGGGACAUGUUUAUGCAGCUGAAAUCCUUCUGCGCUAUGGUGCUGAUCUCAACUUUGAAGACCCAGUGUCUUAUUACAAUCCAUUGCACAUAGCAGUUCUGAGGAACAGCCCGAGCAUGGUGAGGCUGCUGGUGGGGCAUGGGGCCGACAUUGAAAAAAGGGACAGGAUCCAUGAAAGCAGUCCUUUGGAUCUGGCCAGUGAGGAGUCCGAGAGACUGCCCUGCUUGUUCGCCCUGCUUGACUUGGGAGCUGACGUAAACGCAAAGGAUAAAAACGGAAAGACACCGUUGCUCCAUGCCUUGGCGAGCAGCGAUGGACUCACGGUGCACAACACGGAGAACAUUCAACUGCUGCUCGAGAGAGGUGCUGAUAUUCGAGCUACUACCAUAGAUGGGGAGACAGCUGAGUCCUCUCUGGUGUUUCUGAUUCAGGAGGCCCUGGAGGCCAACAUGGAGGAUGCUGCUGAGAUUGGCCACUUCUGCCUGAGAGCCACCAAGCUAUUGCUGGCCCAUGGUAUUAACCCCAGCGUGUGUCUGAGUGGGGAUGGAGAGCCCUCCCUGACACAAACCAGUUUGGGGUACUUUGACUUGCUGUUCCCUCUGGCUGUUCUGCUACUCCAGAGCGGUGCGGCUUUUGUUUGCUCUUACCAUGGGGCCUCCUGCUGGUCAGGUUACAGGUUACUUUUCCACAGACUCCGCACAGCACUGCAGCAGUGUACUGAUGGGAGCCACGCCCUUGAGCUCGUGGAGCAGGCUGAGCUCUUGGUUGACCUAGCCAAGGUAAACUUCACCACACUGCCACUGCCCUCCAGACUGGAGCUGCCUCAUCCUGGAGAGGAACCCCAUGCCCAAAUGCUGCUGGACCUCCACAGCCGAGUGGUGGAGCAAGAGGCAGGCCCUCCAGCUUUGCGCUUCCUAUGCAGAGCGUUCAUAAGGAGCACCUUACAGCCCUGGCCACUGGAAGAUAAGGUGAAAACUCUGCCAUUACCAGACAGACUCAAAGACUUCCUUCUCCCCGAACACACAUAUAGCCCAAAGCCCGGCUGGGACUGCUUCAGGCCCCAGAAAAACCCCACGCUGAGUUCUUGACCUACUAUGUCUACAGAGGUGAUGUUUAGUUAUACGCUGGAUAUGAAAUGAGAGUUGUGCCAAGAUUAAACUGCUAAUACCCGCUUGAGAAGCGAGUUACAGUUCGUCGUGAGCGCCACCAGAUGGCAGUAGUGAUCUUGCAUUUCAAAAGUAGCGUGGCUGGCGGGGUCAGCGAUGUCGUUAUUCACGGAAUGGGCCUAUCAAAGUUGUAGUAACGCAGUGAAACUCAUCACUGUGCCCUCAACACAUUUGUGCACGGCGUUUGAUUUGACCUUUAGUGUGCAGGAUGAGCCCCGGCCUGGACGGUGGGUGCUGGCGGGCCGGUGAAGGCAGGCAGGUAUGCGAGCUGGGCGUCUCCUCCUGCAGAUGUUGCGCCCGGUAAGGCCCAUGACACCCUCUAAUUCCCAACAAUGCGAAAGGCUCUUCGACAUCUGGUAUCCCCCCUUAUCAGAUGCAGUCGCUGC